AUGGGAACGCGAAGAACCUUACCUAGACUUGACAUCUCCUGAAUAGUGUAGAGAUACAUGAAGCCCUUCGGGGCGAGGAAGACAGGUGGUGCAUGGUUGUCGUCAGCUCGUGUCGUGAGAUGUUGGGUUAAGUCCCGCAACGAGCGCAACCCUUAUUACUAGUUGCUACCAUUAAGUUGAGCACUCUAGUGAGACUGCCCGGGUUAACCGGGAGGAAGGCGGGGAUGACGUCAAAUCAUCAUGCCCCUUAUGUCUAGGGCUACACACGUGCUACAAUGGUGGGAACAAAGAGAUGCAAUACCGCAAGGUGGAGCUAAACUCAAAACCCCAUCCCAGUUCGGAUUGUAGGCUGAAACUCGCCUACAUGAAGCUGGAAUUGCUAGUAAUCGCGAAUCAGAAUGUCGCGGUGAAUACGUUCCCGGGUCUUGUACACACCG
rnacentral:rRNA from 1 species